CUUAACCCAGAUAGCCGUCCCAUGGAGUCAAUCGUAUACCGAAAGAACAAUGUGAAAGACUUUGACUCCAUGGCGAUUGAACUGUGUGCAUUGGGUCUGAGCGCUAUUCAGUAAUAAUGUUGUUGUAGAAUUAUUAGGCCUCUAUAAAUCUGUAAGGCCCCUUUAAAUCCUCUUGCUAUACCUCUAAGAGGCCCCAUAGUUUUACAAGAAAG